rnacentral:tmRNA from 1 species
CCGUGACGGGCCAUUCACAAGUGCUAACGAUAACACCGUUACACUCGCUGCUGCCGCCUAAACAGCGGACGUAAGCGCGGUCCGGGGGGCACCGGGCAACAGAAGCCCCCCACU